rnacentral:tRNA from 1 species
CCUUAAGUAGUUUAAAAAAAAAUUAUGAUUUGUGGUAUCAUAGAUAUAUAUAUUAUAUUAUCUUAGGUU